rnacentral:tRNA from 1 species
GGGCCAGUAGCUCAGUGGUAGAGCCUAUGCUUCGUACGCGGGAGGACCUGGGUUCGAUUCCCUGCUGCUUUC